AUGGAAACAUCAAACUUCAGACAAUAUGUAGUAUGAGGUGGGGUCUGAGUUGGGAGAUAAAACCUAUAUAAAUCGAUAGACCAAUACAAACCAAGACACUUUUCUUCAAUGGCAAUAUUUGUGCAAAUGCUUCCCGAAGGUGUAAUACGUAAAUGAACAGAGGUGAGGGCCCAAUUUUGCUUUUCAUGACGAAAGUAAACAUUGGACUGGACGCAGAACCAAUUACUGUGCUGUUCAGACUAGUGCAUGUAUUGCUGCGCGAUUGUCAAAAGGAUAUCUUGCUGAUCAUCAGUGUCUGCCGUUCCAUAUUUAUGCAUUCAAAGACCUUUAUUAAUGUUUUUUAUACCUCAUUUACGUGUUUUAAGAUUGAUUGUGCAGGUUUUAACAGGAAUCAGUCUGAAGGACCUUCUGCGCAUGCGUAUUUUCGCAUUUCUUGCCGCCAGUUUUGACAGAAGGAUUUGCGGGUAGACGAAGACAGAGAGCCGAGAGAAGAAAGAGCACUGGAUGCAGCACUUGAUGCCAUUCUGCAGCGUGUGAUAGACAUCAAGAGUUCCCUGCAGGAACUGAUGCUCAAGAUUGAGAGGGAAGGAGAGCAGGCUGACUGGCCUUCCUAUCUGGAUGCCUUCUCUGUUAUCUCUGCUCAG